rnacentral:rRNA from 1 species
GACGAACGCUGGCGGCGUGCUUAACACAUGCAAGUCGAACGGAAAGGCCCUGCUUUUGUGGGGUGCUCGAGUGGCGAACGGGUGAGUAACACGUGAGUAACCUGCCCUUGACUUUGGGAUAACUUCAGGAAACUGGGGCGAAUACCGGAUAGGAGCUCCUGCUGCAUGGGGGGGGUUGGAAAGUUUCGGCGGUUGGGGAUGGACUCGCGGCUUAUCAGCUUGUUGGUGGGGUAGUGGCUUACCAAGGCUUUGACGGGUAGCCGGCCUGAGAGGGUGACCGGCCACAUUGGGACUGAGCUACGGCCCAGACUCCUACGGGAGGCAGCAGUGGGGAAUAUUGCACAAUGGGCGGAAGCCUGAUGCAGCAACGCCGCGUGCGGGAUGACGGCCUUCGGGUUGUAAACCGCUUUCGCCUGUGACGAAGCGUGAGUGACGGUAAUGGGUAAAGAAGCACCGGCUAACUACGUG